CUUUGGGAUUAUGUAGCACGUUUUAAGCUUGAAGUGUCCCACCCCUUCCGUCCCUUGUGUAUCUUAUCUUAUCUGUGCUGUUUGCCACGUUUAUCACCUGCCUAUAAAGCUGACCUGCUUUGACUUUUACAUGUUAAGCAUGGAGGUCAGAAGCCAGAACCUGCUGGAGGAGGCGAAGCUCCAGAAAAACAUCUGCAGACAGAGUUCCUGCUGCUUCAGAUGACAUCUGUGUCUCUCUGCGUUGCCUGGGCGAGGUAGCAGCAAGUCUUCAGAGAGCAAUGCUGCACAACAUG